AUUCUUUUUUUCUCUGGAAGAUUGUUUAACUGACAGAUGGUGGUUGUAACUUGUAACCUCAGUUGGGUGAUGAAACAGUGAGUGUAAGCUUUGACCUUAGACCCUCGGAUGCCAUUAACAUUGCAGUGAGAUCCAAGGUACUGCUGCAUAUUGCAGAUACAUUACACAUUUUACCUAUAUUUUUUUCUUUUAUUUUGGUACAUAUGUUAUUUUGGUAGAUAGGAAAUCAUGAUACAUGCAUUCGUGCACUUCUUGUGAGAUAAUAUGGAUCUGGAAUUGGUUAUCCAAAUCACUUUAGUUGUAAGAUAAGAUUCCUAUAUGUCGUGGUAAGACGAACAAAAUAAAUUGAAUUAUUUGUCCACUGAAAAUGGCUAGUACAAAAAACUAGCUAAUGGUCAGAGGAUACAUCCUUGUAUGGUUUUGCAAGUAAAUGAAUUGUCUUUUUGACGAUAUUUUAUUUUCUGCAGGUGCCAAUACAAGUCAACAAAUUCUUGGCAUACAGUGAUGGAAUGAGAGUCAUCGAGUCUGCAAAGUUAUUAUUUCCCGGCUCUUCUUCAGAUGGCUUCAUAUUAACAGAACUGGACCGGUAGACUUGUAUCUAAUUUUUUUAUAGUUUUAUUUCAAUGGGGACAAAGUAUAUGGCAAUAGUUUCAUCAAAAAAAUCAAGUGGUCAAGUGUUGUAGUCUAGAUGGUAAAUGUGAAUAUUUGUACGAGUGCUUGUAGCAUUAUCCAUAGAGGAUUCCUUGAAAUGUUUGGUUAUCUGCAAGAAUCUUGAAACUUCAAACAGCUGUAUAAGGGAACUUGAUGUUGUUAAAAAAAACAAAAAACAAAAAAAAAUCAUAUAGAAAAGGAUUGGGCAAAAUAUGAGAAGUUAUGUACUUUACUUUCUCUAUUCCAGUAUGUGGGAAUUAAGGAAUUGAAUUUUGUGUCUAAUUAAAAUAUUCUGGUUUCAGGCCCAGUGGCCAGCCAUGUGUUGAAACAAAAGAAUUUGAUCUCGUGCGCAACAUGCUGAUUGCCGCUGUUGAGGAACGUUACAGAGAUGCAGGUAUGUUUUUCUUUGCAUGUUUUUGUAACGUUUAGAUAUCCUUAAGGUCCGCAACCUACACUGGGACACAUGCAUGGGUCACCCUCAUCUGUGAGGUUUCUUAGUAGAAUAAAUGUUGUAGAAUGGAAAUUAAGAGACCAGAAUCUAUGAUGGAUGUUAUUGAGCAGAACAUGUAGCAUGUAGGGCAGGUUAAUUUCUGGUUCAGAAAUGGCAUGAAUAUUGUUUCUGAUGCUACCUAAAAUCAUAGAGCCUAUAUUUGCAUCAGAGAAUAACUACUUGAUUAAAAAAAUUAGUCCAUGCAAUAAAUCACUUCCUUUCCACCUUUCUUCAAUGAAAUUUUUGCAAAGGGAAUAAAUAAAUAAAUGUGAAAACCCCAACAAAAUUAAUUUGAAAGAAAGAACAUCUCUAGUCUCUUACCCUACUCUCCAUCAACUUGCAUGAAGAUGAAAAUCAAAUCUAGAUAUAUAGUAUCAUCAUUAAAAGAUUUUACUAGCCAAAGUAGUUGACAUCUUAAAUGUGCCCUCUCUUUAUUUUGCUUUACUGACUUAAAGGGGAUUUUACCAUAAGAAAAAUAAAUAUUAGCCUCGAACUCUAGUUAGUCUUUCGUGAAUUUGUUAUUUGGCUCCUUCAUUCUACUUGCAAGAUUUCUACGUUUCCUCUUUGGUAUAUGGAAAAUGCCACAAUUGUUGAAACAUUGAGCAAGUCCAUUUAAUCUCUCGCACCCUAUUCAAACGAGUUUUAGUUUUUGUUUUUGAGGAUAGCAUAGCUAUUUUCAUACACUUAACAUCAGCUUAAAGUUGCAUUUAGUGAAUUUAACCACAGCUAGGAAGAUUUAAAUGAGAUUGACCGAGUUUGUACUUGGUGGAGUAUUUGGAAUUUGCUGCUUGGGGAAGGUAUAAAUCAGCUAAGGUAUUUAUUUUUGCAUCUGACAUCUAUCUAACCCUUGUGAUUGGACUGAUUUUCUAGUUGGUAUGUCCAAGUAACUCCUUUUUAGGGUAUUGAUCUUUGAUUUGAAGUCUGUGACUUGUAAUUAUUUUUCUGGUCUUUUACAGCUCAAUGGAGGGACAAACUCAGCCAACUUCGAUCAAAGAGGAACUGGGCUUAGUAGGUAUUAAACCUCUGUCUCGAUUGUGCCAUUUAAAUUUCAAGUUUUGAUCUAUUGUGGCACUCUCUCUCUCUCUCUCUCUCUCUCUCUCUCUCUCUCUGUGUGUGUGUGUGUGUAUAUAUAUAUAUAUAUAUGUAUAGAUUGAUUAUGAGCAUGCGGAGGCACAUUGGUUUCAAAGAAAACUAACAAAUUAUUGGCGCUUUUAUCAUGUGUACAGGGCAGGAGAAAUUUGUAUAUAGAAACUGUUGGUUGAAGUAGCCCGGGUUCAGCGUCUUGGGUAAUUAUAUCUGUAUAUAUUCCCCUUAAGAUGGGAUGGGAUGGACGAUAAAUAGUGUUAAAUGUAAUGUUAAAUUACAGACAGCCAGCCAGCCAGCCAAUUGCGUUACUGUUUCCUUUACUUGUAAUGUGCACAUCUCAUUUCUUAUUUAUUUUUUAUGGAUGUCAGUUCUGUGGUUCGUAGUUGGCUGGUGUGAAGUUUUACAUUAUUAGCUAGCUCAAUUUAGAUCAGACAGAGACGGAAAUCAAAAUAUAUUCAUAUUUGUUAGGCAUACGAAAAGUAAUGAAAGCAACGCUAGGAAUAUAAUUUUUUAAAUACUAAUAUUUAAAUUUAUUGAAUCAAAUUACGUCAAAUAACUUAUUUACUAGUAAAUCUUAAGUUGCAUUUUUUUUUAAAAAAAAUGCAAUAUUUAUACAAUUUGUAAAUUCUAAAAGCAAUAUUUUUCUUUCAUGUUAUACCGAGUGUUUAGUCUAAUAGUGUGAUAAAAAUUGUAUUGUUAUAUUUUAGAAUAUUAUGUCAUGUUGUUAUUAUAAAAAUUAUAUUUAACAGUGAAUAGAAUCAAACUGGGGCAGAAAUUUUGGGAUAUGAAUGUUGACAUUGUUAUAAAAUGAGGUAUCUUUCUAUCUUACUCAUUCAUCCUAUCCUCACGUAUUCAUUUCUUGUUUGGGGUGGGUGGUUAUGUUAUUACUUUUUGCAGCAUAUAUGAAGUGAAUAACAUACUCUAUCUAUCUAUCUAUCUAUCUGUUGGAAAUAUAUAUAUGUAGAAAAGUGAAGAGAUGUUAUUAUGUCUCAAGGUUACUAGUGGUAUAUUUAUCCUUUCAAAAUUAAUUACCUCGUAUACUUUUAAAAUUUGAAAAUAGGAACUCGUCAUAUUUGAAAAUUAUGUUUCUUUCAUUAAUUAAUGCAAGUAAAAAUAAUAAUCCCUCCCUCCCUCCCUCCCUCCCUCCCUGUCUGUUUCAAAACGACAACUUAAAAAGAAAUCGUCUUUUUUAAUAAUAUGUAUAUAAUGCAUAUAAAAAAAAGGAUAUGUUAAAAACUUUAUAAUCUAAAAUAAACUCUGAAUAUCUGAUAUCUCUAGUUUUUGAAUUUACCAAAAAAGAAAAAAGAGAAUGAAUAAGAAGGAAACAUAACUAACAUUGUCCAAUUUUAUGGUUAGUUCUGGCAUUAAUCAAAUCAGUAAAAGGCAGAAAGAAGGAAAAUGAAACUGUCCCGCGCUGGGGCCUGGGGUCUCAACUCUCAACUAUCAACAACCAAGCCCAGCGUGGCAAUUGGCAAAGCUUCUUAAUUUAAUUUGUAAUGAAUGAAUGACGACUGCUUUACGGAUAAUAGGCGGGCAGGCGGGCGUGCAUCAGCUAAGUAACAUGUUUCCUUUCCUUAGUUGGUUGCCGAUUCAUUAAAAUGAGAGAGGGACAGAGAAAGCUACCUCUUCUGAACUGAACCUAUCGCUAUGAGUACUCUCUCUCUCUCUCUUUUAUUCUUUAAUAAUUCUAGCUUAUGUUCUCUCUCUCUCUCUCUCUCUCUCUAUAUAUAUAUAUAUAUAUUAUACACACACAUGACACAGAGUGAUAGAGGGAGGGUAUCAUACACAAUUUUCCUAAACUAGUGUUACCAAUUGAGUGUAGGAUCAAGGCUAGCUAAUUUGAAAAUAUCACAAAAUGUACAGAACAUUUGAUCGAUUUGAAAGGCCUUGUAAUUAAGCUCUCUUCUGAUCUCUCUUUUUCUUUUUCUUUUCGAUCGUCUGUAUUAAUGCCUAGUGUUUUUUUCCUCCUUUUUCCGGCUGUGCCUACUGAAAUUUUAGAAGAACCAUUUCUUGCUCACUUUCUUAAAUCGUGUUUACUAAUUAAGACCUAACAAAUACUUGCAUUAAUUUUUGUAGGCACUGAAGGGUCCGAUGUAAGAAAAGAAUCGCGAUCAGAAGAGGAAAGGAGGAGAAGAGAUGGAACAUUUAACAAGAAAGAGAUAGAUGCAUCUACUGAAUUCAAAAUUUCUUCUAGAAAAGAAAGCAGGAAGAGAAGGGAUAACCAAGUUCCACUUUUAGUCGAAGAUGUUCAAAACUCUGAGGAGCUAAAUGCGGUAGAGGCUUUUAGACAAGCACUAACAAAGAAUGAUUUGCUACCUGCAAAAUUUGAUGAUUAUUAUAUCAUGUUGAGGUGAUUUUCCUGUCCGUAAAAAUGUAUAACAUACCUACUUCCUUAAAUGCCAGCUUAUUUAGGUAGGAAUUGCUUCUUUUUGGUGCCUGCAUAGUAUGCUUUGUGUACGUCUAUAUGGGAGUCGAUCAAAGUUUUUGCUGGGAUUGGUAAAUUAUAUGAUUUUUUGAUUACUUCUUUUUGUCAGUGAAGCACAAGCUUCUUUUCUGUGAGAACUGCCAUGUUUUUUGUGGAAUUCAUCAAUAAAUCGAUUGCAGCUUUAAUAUGCUCGCUAAGCUGCUAAUAAUGAAUUGCAGUUGCUUAGUUGUAAUAUAAUAGUUAUAAGUCUGUUAGAACCUCCUAGAAAACACAAUGUGCUGCUAUGUGUGAGUCAUUUUCUUUUGGUGUAAAAUUUAGGGUAUAAUUGUUUAUUAUAACUUCUCUAUUUUCUCCUUAAAGCUUUUCCGGUAUAAGGGGGUUAGCGAGUAUGCAUUAAUUAUGCGAUAAUCUUCUAAGAUUUUUAGAAAUUGUUUGUUUAUUCUUCACUUCUCGCCUCUUCAGCACUGCACAAGAGCAGGCAGGAGCUACUAUGUCUGCAUAAAAUAUCUAUGUGGCCUCUGUAUUAUUCCUUGUCAGUCUAUUAGCUGCAUUAGUCAGGUAUAAAACUUCAUUCUCAAAAAUUACAUUGCUUAUAGGUUCUUGAAAGCCAGGAAGUUUGAUAUAGAGCAAGCAAAGUGCAUGUGGGCUAACAUGCUUCAAUGGAAAAGAGACUUUGGAACUGACACUAUUUUGGAGGUAAUCUUGUUUGGUGAUAUUCUUUUUGCUAUUCGUUUGAUGUGCUAUCCUCCAUUGUGGCUUGGUAUGUCGUGUCAAUUUUCUGUUGUACUCAUUAACUCAUUGAAUUCGUACAAAUCAUUCGGUUAGCUUGUUCAGAUAAUUGAGUGCCUCACCUGUCGACUAACAUUUGGAUGCUGAAUCGCUGAUAGACCCUUCAGGCAAUGACAAUUCAUUAUGCUAUGGUUCAAACUUCAAAGUACUACUUCAAUGUUAUCCUUUUUAUAUAUGUAUACUGGAACUUAUGAUUAUCUCAUGUAACAGUAAAUCUUUCGAAGUGAAAGAACUUAGACUCAAUGAAGUCAUUAUGGUUUGAAUAUGUGAAGUGAAAAAAAUUGAAUAAACAUAACUCGGAACUUCAGGAAAACAAAAUUAGUUAGUACUAUUGGCAUGCUUGGGCUAUGAUUGAACUAUUAAUGAAUAUGCUUGGUAUUGUUAAGAUGGAUUGAGCUUCCAUUGUUACUAAAUUUAGUAUCAUUUUUAGCGGAUACCAUAACCACGUUUGCAUUUCUUCUUUACAGGAACAAGGUAACUAACAAAAGUUUGAUAUUGAACAAUAGUUUGUGCACUUGAAAUUCCUACUCCACGGCCGAUGUACAAUUUCUUUAUUUCUUCUAACUGUUCCUCUACUAAUGUUUAUGUCAGGAUUUUGACCUCUAUGAGUUGGAUGAAGUCCUACGAUACUAUCCCCACGGUUAUCAUGGUGUUGAUAAGGAUGGAAGGCCUAUUUACAUUGAAAGAGUUGGUAAAGUUGAUCCAAGUAAGCUUGUGCAGGUGACAACUUGGGAUCGGUUAGUGAAGCACCAUGUGCAGGAGUUUGAAAAGACUCUUUCCAUUAGGUUUCCAGCCUGCUCAAUUGCUGCAAAAAGACACAUAGAUUCAAGUACAACUAUUUUAGAUGUUCAGGGCUUGGUAUUUUUCUGUUCGUUCUAUACAAAUAAAUAUAUAUGGUCAAGCAGGGAAUUUUUCAGAGCUGUUUCUAUAAGCUACGUGGUUUAUGAUUUCUAUAUCCUCUGUUAUUCAGGAUUUGAGAAAGUUUGGCGGUGCUGCUCGGGAAGUCAUGGACAAGCUGAGGUUGAUUGACACUGACAAUUAUCCUGAGGUAUCAACAAUUGGUUUUGCCUGUAAAGUAGUCUGUAAAAUUUGCACAGCAGUAACUGGCUUAUAAUAACUACACACCUUUCCAUUAUGUGGCUUCUAAACAUAUUUCUGAAAUACUUACCUUUGAGUAAAUAAUAUCUGCAGACACUUCGCCGAAUGUUUAUUGUGAAUGCUGGUCCUAGCUUUUGGAUGGUUUGGAACAUAGUUGCUAAGAGAUUUAUUGAUCCUAAAACGACUUCUAAGAUACAGGUGCUUUCAGAGAGUUCACUUUUAUCUAUCAAAAGUUAAAUUGCUCUAGAAAUAUCCGCAAUUAUCUUCUUGUUUUUCUUCUGUUUUUUUUUUCCUUUUUCUGGAAAUUUCGUCAGGUUCUUGGCAAAAAGUACCAGAACAAAUUGCUUGAAAUAGCUGAUCCAAGGUUACUAAGAAAGUUUUUGGUCAUGGAAUUGGUGUUCAUGAAAUUGCUUCUCAUUCAGUAAUCUUACCAUUUCAUCAAUCUAAAGCUAUGUUUGUGAUUCUUAGUGAGUUGCCAGAGUUUCUAGGUGGUAGCUGUACAUGUGCAGAUCAAGGAGGUUGUUUAAGAUAUGAUAAAGGACCAUGGAAGGAUCCUAAUAUAUCUAAAGUAAUGAAUUACUACUUUACAUAUGCAAUUUCCUGAUUUCUUAUAUUCCAAAACUUAUAUUACUAUUCAUGCAGAUGGUUUUUGGCAGUGAAGUACAAUGUUCCAGGCAGAAACAAAACAUAUUAAACGGUGAGGGUACAUCAAUAGGUGUCAGUAACCCUUGUUUUCCACUGGUAUGCUCUACUUGACCAUUUUAACUUGUGUUUCGUAGAAAUUCUUUUUUCUUUUUGAUUUUUUCAUUGAAAUAUAGGUUAAGUUUAUUCACAUUGAUUUAGGCAAGGGGGACAGAGACACCCGCAGCUGGGUCAGGAUUUGAGUCUGAGGAUACUUCUCCUAAAGCAGCGAAGGGCUAUUCAGGACUAAGGUUGACUCCUGUUAGUGAAGAGGUAAGAUCUUGAUAAUGAAUACUGAUAAUCAAGAUGUUAUGAUAACCAUGCCAUAUAAUCAAGAUGAAUAAGAAUUAGCAGCAGCACCAUGACUGAAAGGACUUACUAGGGUAAGCAUGUUUUAAUCACCUGAUCUUGGGUUAUAGUUACUAUGCUUUUGAUAAUUAUUUUAGGCUCAGGUGAAUAGAACGGCCAACCAAGCUGAGGGCAUCUCUACCUGUGACGAGGAUUUGGUUAUUAAGGCCAUGGAUGCAGAAUGGAAGGAAGAAGCAUCCCUCCAGAAAUACGAUACUUCAAUAGGUUAGAAAAAAUCUCUCUCCUUUAUUGUUUAAUAUCAGCGUCUCUCUCUCUCUCUCUAUAUAUAUAUAUAUUCUAACGUUAUGGAUUAUCGUUUAUAUAAAGUUCCUUGUAGAUGGAGUUUUAUCUUAAUUUCUCCCUAGUCCCUGUGUGAGGAAUGCAAUGAUGCAUUAUGCUUGUAUACAUGAUUUUCUUGAUUAUUUGGUUCACUUUUUCUCUUCUUAUGCUUGAUUUAAUGGAAACAUUGUCUUUCCUAAAUUUGUUUAGCUUUUAAACAUAAAUUGUGAAGGACUGUUUGUUUGACAAUAUCCUUACUUUCUCUGUAAUGAGUGUUAACCUAAAUUGUCAGAAGAGAAGCCUAGACAAUCUCAUUGAGUUAUUGGACUUUAUAUUACCUGGAUUGUGGAUUGAUACGAUAAUGUAAAAGUAAGUAGAAGUCGGACAUUCGUAUGCAGGAGGACUUUUUUUACCAAGAACAUCAAUUAUGUGGAAACUUCUUGCUCAGAUUUGCAUCAAACUCGGGGUCGUCUUCAUGGUCCUUUUUACUUUCAUCUAUUCAGUUAGAUGCCAGAUGCCCAAGAAAUUUGCAGAUUCAAUUUCAGCCCUGAAAGCUAUAUUAUGGACAAGUGAACCAAUGCUAAUGGAGGGAUAUUGUUCUCCUCCUACUCCUGGCAACCAUGGAGAAUAUGGGUUCUCAGAUCCUUUGCGAAAAAUUUGCGAGCUAGAGGGUAAGGUAAACAUGUUGCUGGGGAAGUCGUGUACAAUGCCAAAGGAGAAAGUGGAAUUGCUGAAUGCCGCUGUUUCUCGUGUGGAUGCAUUAGAAGCAGAGUUAAUUUCUACAAAGAAGGUAAGGUGUUAUUAUUAUUAUUUUUGUUGCAUGCCUCUUCCUAUUGAUCAUGUUGGCAAUUGGCAAUUGCAAUAGGAAAAUUAAAGAUUCUGUCCUAUUUUGGUCGAUGCUUUAUUAUUAUUCUUUUGUUUCAUUCCUAAUUCUCUUCCACUACUGAGAAGGCUUUGCAUGAAGCUCUUGUGAAGCAAGAAGAACUUGUUGCAUACGUGGAUGGUCAAGAAGCAGCCAUGGCCUCCGUAAGUUAACAACAAACCGUUCCAUAUUUUUUCUCUUGUGGAGUGACUAAAACUGGGUUAUAUUAUAUUGUGCACAAGCAGGGAAACAAACGUUUGGUAAAGAAGAGGUGGUGGUUUAAAAGAGGAUCAGUCAAAAUAAUACUAUAGUUUUAGUAUGUGGUAUAGAGCUUCAUAUACAUCAUUUCUUUCAGCCUUAAAUUGGUGUUUUACCAUGUUGGUUAAUUCUAUAAGGAGAGUAAUGAAUGGCCACUUUUCCCAUUUUUCAUCCAAGUGUUACUGCAAUAAGAAUGUAUAUAUAUAUAUAUAUAUAUAUAUAUAUAUAUAUAUAUAUAUACACGGGAAUGAUCCAUAAUAAAUUAAUGACUGAGAUUUAAUACACAAUUUUGCCUUCGAUGUAGGGAAAAAAAAUUUGGUCAAAAUUGUCCCUAAUAUCAAGCUAUCAAGCCAAUGAAUAGCAAAUAUUUGGUUGUCAAAUAUCAGAUCUAAUAUAUAUUCUCGAAUAUUACGCAUCAAUAGCAAAUAUCAGAACAGAUCUAAUAUAUAUUCUCGAACAGAUCUAACUUGCAGUCUGAGAAGAUCUUCCAUUGGUUUGAAACUUAUAUGAACUGAUCGAGACUCCAUGCUAUUACACUGUUCCCUUGGUGAAGCUCAGAUGAGCAUUAUGGAUUGUGUCUGGAUCGAGACGACUCCAGCCAAUAAUUUUGACGAGCUUAUUACCAUGAUAUAAAUCAUUCUUGAUUGUAAAGUGGGGACUUUGCGAAUCUUUUGUAUUGUUUGUCUAAUUAGUUCUGCAAUAAGAAAAAGAUAUGUUGACUUCCGCUAUUAUUGGGUUCAUUGGCUUGAUAGCAUGAUAUUAGGGAUAAUUUUAUCCAAUUUUUUUUUUCCCUUGCAUCCGCUAAUUUAACUAGCGGAAGACAAAAUUGUGUACUAAAUUUCAGUCAUUAAUUUAUGUAAUGAAUGGUUAUAAUGUUAUUUGUCUAUUUUUCAUCUAUAGCAAAUACUCCCUCCAUUUCAUUAUAUUUGA
rnacentral:lncRNA from 1 species